AAUUUUUGUAGUUUGUUUUAGUUUUUAAUUUUCAAGUUUUCUUUUGAUAAUUGUUAUUCUAAAAAAUUGAAAGCAAUGGGUAGUUUUGUUCAAAGUUCAAAUUUAUACAACAACGUCUACCUACUAAAAAAUGGUAUAUGCCGAGUUUUAAGUUGAUUCGAAAGUU
ensembl:ncRNA C24B5.9 ncRNA